UUAAUACCGGAUAGAUCAAAGAUACUGGAAUGUUCUCUGGUCCAAAACUCCGGUGCCCAAGGAUGGGUCUGCGGCCUAUCAGGUUGUAGUGGGUGUAACGUACCUACUAGCCUACGACGGGUAAGGGUUGUGAGAGCAAGAUCCCUGAGAUGGAUUCUGAGACAUGAAUCCAGGCCCUACGGGGUGCAGCAGGCGCGAAAACUUUACACUGCGGGAAACCGCGAUAAGGGGACCCCGAGUGCCAGCACCUAGUGCUGGCUGUCCCGCUGUCCAAACAACAGUGGUUAGCAAGGGCCGGGCAAGACCGGUGCCAGCCGCCGCGGUAACACCGGCGGCCCGAGUGGUAGCCGCUAUUAUUGGGUUUAAAGGGUCCGUAGCCGGCUUAUUAAGUCUCUUGGGAAAUCUGGCGGCUCAAUCGUCAGGCGUUCA
rnacentral:rRNA from 1 species